rnacentral:rRNA from 1 species
UACGAAGGGGGCUAGCGUUGCUCGGAAUCACUGGGCGUAAAGCGCACGUAGGCGGAUUGUUAAGUCAGGGGUGAAAUCCUGGAGCUCAACUCCAGAACUGCCUUUGAUACUGGCGAUCUCGAGUCCGGGAGAGGUGAGUGGAACUGCGAGUGUAGAGGUGAAAUUCGUAGAUAUUCGCAAGAACACCAGUGGCGAAGGCGGACCUUCUGGACAGUGACUGACGCUGAGACGCGAAAGCGUGGGGAGCAAACAGGG